UCUGAGAUUCUGAAGGAGAACAGGGCUGUCAGUCUUGAGUGGGAGCUGCUAAGUGUGUGGCGCAGACCCUACGACCUGUCCUGUCCCGCCUGCUCUGCCCCUCUCCACUCCAGAAAGUGUUCAGAGCAUGCCAAUAAGCAUCCCUCCAUGGCCUCUGCAUUGAAUCCUGGCUCAAGGUUCCUGUGCUGUUUGAGUUCCUGUCCUGACUUCCUUCAACAGAUGAACAGUACAGUGGAAAUGUAAGCCAAAUAAACACUUUCCUCCCCAA